rnacentral:lncRNA from 1 species
UUCUAAAGGAAUGCUUAAGAAAAAAAGAGGUUAAGAUAAUACUAAGACUGUUGGGGGUGAUGCCUCAGCUGUGCCGAAGAUAAGUAUAGUCGAGGCCAAAGUCAGAUUGCCAAACCUCAGAUACUGAUCCAAGAGAUACCAUGGCUCCUUCCUCAAAGAUCCUUGACCAAUCCUUACUUUUAAUCAAGUGUCACCUCGGUGACUAC